UCACUUUCCUUCUUGCAUUUUACAUUAUGGUUAGGAAUAAUGGAAAUAUCAAGUCUGGCUGGGUUUGACUGGAAGAUAUUUGACUUCAGAACGUGCAUGAGUCUUUUCACAGCAGCGAUACUAGGAGGCAAUGCAACGGAAAGCUGAUCCGCCUGAGGAACACUGACUGGAAGUUGAUGUGGUUCACUGCUGUUCCGUCUGUCCAGUAAGAAGUACUUUCAAGGCUACUCCAUCUAUGGUAGCACCAGCGAGAAAAGCCCUCUGAUGCAAACAGAUGGAAGUCUUGCCUGGGUGUCUCAUGAGAAUAUUUUUCUGGGUGGUUUGCCAGAUCCAAGUUUUGAUCAUCUGAAAGAGCCUUUUGACACAACAGAAUUUCACAGACUUUACAGAGAUGAGAGACCUGGGGUAGUGGUUUUCCCAGUCCGCAACAUCUAUCUGUUGAACAUUACAUGGGCACUGCCCCCACAAGAGAAAAAUUUCAGGUAAAAUGAUGUUUAGACUAUUAUAACAUUAAUUAUUUAAUUAUCUUUAAUUUAUGAUAUAUUUUGAUUUCAUGCUAAUUAUAGUUUGUGUAGAGAAUCCAGUAGAUGAACAAGACCUCAUGUUGUGGUAAUACCACAGAAAAGGAUGAUUUCAGAAAAUAUAUUUUGUGCUCUGGUUCUUUGAAAAUAGCGUACAAAAUAGUAUCAGUUUUAGGUAUAGUAUCUCAAUGUUGACAUAAUAGCUAUAAUAUCCCAUAGACAUAACUCACUUUUAAUGAUCUUCAUUGCACAGGCCAUGAGUUGAUACUGGUGUGUUGUAGGAUCCUGAGGAGCUACAGGGCUCAUUUGGAUGGGCCAGUCGUAUCCCAGCCUUCCUUGCCUUUGGCCUCUGGGACUCCAGCCCAAAAAUGCACUCCAAGCCUGUGUGGUCUUUGACCCAAUUUGAGAGAGAUGUUAAAGAUCUCUGGUGGUACCUCCAAA